GGUGGCCGAGUAGGUGGCAAGUUGUAGCCUUGUUUACGGGGCCGUGCCCCCCCC
rnacentral:tRNA from 1 species